UACGUAGGGGGCAAGCGUUGUCCGGAUUUAUUGGGCGUAAAGGGCGUGUAGGCGGCCAGGUAGGUCCGCUGUGAAAACUCGAGGCUCAACCUCGAGAUGUCGGCGGAAACCAUCUGGCUAGAGUCCGGAAGAGGAGAGUGGAAUUCCUGGUGUAGCGGUGAAAUGCGCAGAUAUCAGGAAGAACACCCGUGGCGAAAGCGGCUCUCUGGAACGGUACUGACGCUGAGACGCGAAAGCGUGGGGAGCGAACAGG
rnacentral:rRNA from 1 species